UUCUUUAAGACUAAUUUUUUUCGUUGUAACAUUGUACAUGUUUUAACAUUUAAGAUCCCGACUUCCUUCCAGGAUUUUCAUUUUGAAUUUCCCGGCUGGCAGGAAUAUGGAAGGGAAAGGUGAAGGAGGUGGGGAAAUAUCUAAUGAUCCCGUGGACAUGGUAAGUUCAUAUUCACAACAAAAAGUUCUACAUCGAUUAGAUAUUGAUAUGUGUUUGGAACAUAAAUUUAUGUGAAUGACGAAUGGAUCAUUAACAUUUAAAUCAAACAGGUAAAAUAGGACUAACUUAUCUCUGGUAUGAAAACUGUAGUUGUUUGUUAUACUUAUAGUAUAAUAUGAAAUAAAAUUAAGGAUAUGUAUCAACAAAAAAAUCAUUAUUAGGAUGAAUAAUUCGUCACGAUGAGUAUUAUAUCAACAUUUAAUUGAUAACUUUUGCUUACAAACUUUAUCGUAUUCAGCGUAUUGACUGUGUUUAUAAAAAAAAGCGUUUAACACAAAAUAAGACGUUUGUCACAUUAUCUUAAUAUAGGCCAUGUUCUAAGGGUAAACAGAUUGUACACGUUUAAUUUAGAAACAAAUUGAAGACAAGUAUCAUUUUUUAGUACAAUAUCCAUUUUACUCUUUCGUUCGUCAGAAAUAUUAAGAAUCAUUAUUAUGUAAUGGCAAGUGUUUUCGAAUAAGUAAAACUUAAGUGUAAACAAUGUAAAAGAAUAAAAACUAAUAAAUUUACUCAUUUAACUUUCAGAAAAAGAACAGAAAAAAAUUAAUAGCUGAAUAUUAUUUUGUUUAAUCAUUGAUAUGCGUUGUUCAGAACAGUACAGUAUAUACUAAUGUAUUUACAUGUAUAACAUACUUAUGUGUUAGAAUAUACAGUCAGUAAGGUCAAUUUGCAGUCAUUUAAUGCGUAUCAAAAUAUUACGGCAAGAUUUGUGAAAAAGAUUUGAAAAAACUCAUUUUUUAUUAUUAUAUAAUUGUGUACAUAGUUUAUGUACUAUGCAGACUUGAUUUUAUAAUUGAUGGUAUUAAUAAAUAAAAAGAAAGGUAUCAAAAGCAAUUAUGAAGGUUCUAACACAUAAACUCUCUGAAUGUUUCAUAUCACAGGUACAUGUAUGUAUUACUUAGUCUAUGUUUACAUUACACGAUAUCAGAAACAAUAAGGCAUUACCUUUGAACACAAAAAAUGAAUAAAUAAAUAUAA